rnacentral:rRNA from 1 species
UACGUAGGGCGCGAGCGUUGUCCGGAUUUAUUGGGCGUAAAGAGCUCGUAGGCGGCUUGUCGCGUCGACUGUGAAAACCCGUGGCUCAACCAUGUGGUCUGCAGUCGAUACGGGCAGGCUAGAAUUCGGUAGGGGAGACUGGAAUUCCUGGUGUAGCGGUGAAAUGCGCAGAUAUCAGGAAGAACACCCGUGGCGAAGGCGGCUCUCUGGAACGCAACUGACGCUGAGACGCGAAAGCGUGGGGAGCAAACAGG